rnacentral:lncRNA from 1 species
UUGGGGGUUUUAGGGUUUGUUGUGAGCCCGGUGUAAAACAACGAGUUGGAUAGUGAACUCGCAAAACUACCGUACUGUAAUCGUGGAUUAUAGUGAAAAUUCCCAAAGGUGCUUUGGGGAGUGGAUGUAGGAGCAGUGGAGGCUCCGAACCACUAUAAAAGCCUGUGUUUGCGAUUGGUUGUCUUCAUUGCUUUAUUCUUGCUUUAGCUCUUAUAUUUGUGUGUUUUACUUUUAGAUAGUCAAAAAGUUUUUAAAACACCCAAUU